rnacentral:rRNA from 1 species
AAAGAUUAAGCCAUGCAUGUCUAAGUAUAAGCAAUAUAUACGGUGAAACUGCGAAUGGCUCAUUAAAUCAGUUAUCGUUUAUUUGAUAGUACCUUACUACAUGGAUAACCGUGGUAAUUCUAGGGCUAAUACAUGCUAAAAACCCCGACUUCGGGAGGGGUGUAUUUAUUAGAUAAAAAACCAAUGCCCUUCGGGGCUCCUUGGUGAUUCAUAAUAACUUAACGAAUCGCAUGGCCUUGCGCCGGCGAUGGUUCAUUCAAAUUUCUGCCCUAUCAACUUUCGAUGGUAAGGUAUUGGCUUACCAUGGUAUCAACGGGUAACGGGGAAUUAGGGUUCGAUUCCGGAGAGGGAGCCUGAGAAACGGCUACCACAUCCAAGGAAGGCAGCAGGCGCGCAAAUUACCCAAUCCCGACACGGGGAGGUAGUGACAAUAAAUACUGAUACAGGGCUCUUUUGGGUCUUGUAAUUGGAAUGAGUACAAUUUAAAUCCCUUAACGAGGAACAAUUGGAGGGCAAGUCUGGUGCCAGCAGCCGCGGUAAUUCCAGCUCCAAUAGCGUAUAUUAAAGUUGUUGCAGUUAAAAAGCUCGUAGUUGAACCUUGGGCCUGGCUGGCCGGUCCGCCUCACCGCGUGUACUGGUCCGGCCGGGCCUUUCCUUCUGGGGAUCCGCAUGCCCUUCGCUGGGUGUGCCGGGGAACCAGGACUUUUACUUUGAAAAAAUUAGAGUGUUCAAAGCAGGCCUUUGCUCGAAUACAUUAGCAUGGAAUAAUAGAAUAGGAC